GUUCACCAUGUCAUAUUUAUUGAUAAAGUUCUAAUCAGCUGAGUCUGUUAGAGCAGAAAACCCUCGACAUUUUCUCCUCCUUUUCUCGAACCUCGUCCUCGACCAAAUCAAGUGUGAUCAAAUUCAUUUGUUCAUAAUAAAUUAAUUUUAUAUAUAAACAUAUAAAAUCAGAAGAUAUCUGUAAGAUGUGAAUCAUUUAUAAGUGUUUAUCCUCCUCUAACUAAAAUAUGACCGUGAUUACUCUGAUAUAAAAAUAACUGCAUAUUUGAGAUGUGAUAUCUUCUCCCCUGAUGAUCUGAAGGACCUGUUCAUCCUCAUGCAUGUCCAUCCACCUGCUCUGAAGUGAGGACAAAGUUGAAAUUGUCCAAAUGUCCCCCUCUCUUUGUCCCACACUGCAGAACUUGGACGUCAGAUUCUUGAC
rnacentral:lncRNA from 1 species